UUUAACGGCUCUUCGAACACGCCUGUUAACGUUUUAAGAUUAAAGACAAACGACUUCGCCAUAGUAUGAUUCUAAACUUCACUUCACCUGAAAGAAUAUCUAAUUAUUCUUCAUGAAAACACUUUAUUCUCAGAUAAGGCAUGAACCGACAUCGUUAUAUCGGCAUCUUUUUGUGCGUAGGCCUGUAUCUUUGAAAGUGAAGACAAUCGACAAACCAAAAAGACAAACACAGUCCUAAUGAUGACCCAUGAGGACGGCAACAUCCGAGAUGGAGUCCUACAGAAUCUUUCAUGGUCUCUAGAGCAAGAAGAAGUGUGUUUGAAGAAAGAGGGGGAUGGCUCCAGCACGGCAGUAAGCCGCUUGGAGAAUCAUUGAAAGGGUGAACGAAGAGCCAACACCGAGGGAUUAAUUAUUUCGAUGUCUAGGACCGGCCUAGAUUUACCAAACCACUCAGAGACACAAGAAAAUCCUCUCACCUUUGUAUGAGAACAACAUACAUGCAAACAUUUCAAUCCAAUGUCCAGAGAGGAGCAGAGGAUCAUGGGAACAGACAUUGAGUGUUUAAGUCAGGGCAAGGCGCUGUGGUCAGUUUACAGUAUUUCUGCUUAGCCUUGAAACUGAAUAAUAUAAUCAAUGGUACUGUUUGA